UGGAGAGUUUGAUCCUGGCUCAGGACGAACGCUGGCGGCGUGCUUAACACAUGCAAGUCGAACGAUGAUGCCCAGCUUGCUGGGUGGAUUAGUGGCGAACGGGUGAGUAACACGUGAGUAACCUGCCCCUGACUCUGGGAUAAGCGUUGGAAACGACGUCUAAUACUGGAUAUGAUCACUGGCCGCAUGGUCUGGUGGUGGAAAGAUUUUUUGGUUGGGGAUGGACUCGCGGCCUAUCAGCUUGUUGGUGAGGUAAUGGCUCACCAAGGCGACGACGGGUAGCCGGCCUGAGAGGGUGACCGGCCACACUGGGACUGAGACACGGCCCAGACUCCUACGGGAGGCAGCAGUGGGGAAUAUUGCACAAUGGGCGAAAGCCUGAUGCAGCAACGCCGCGUGAGGGAUGACGGCCUUCGGGUUGUAAACCUCUUUUAGUAGGGAAGAAGCGAAAGUGACGGUACCUGCAGAAAAAGCACCGGCUAACUACGUGCCAGCAGCCGCGGUAAUACGUAGGGUGCAAGCGUUGUCCGGAAUUAUUGGGCGUAAAGAGCUCGUAGGCGGUUUGUCGCGUCUGCUGUGAAAUCCCGAGGCUCAACCUCGGGCUUGCAGUGGGUACGGGCAGACUAGAGUGCGGUAGGGGAGAUUGGAAUUCCUGGUGUAGCGGUGGAAUGCGCAGAUAUCAGGAGGAACACCGAUGGCGAAGGCAGAUCUCUGGGCCGUAACUGACGCUGAGGAGCGAAAGCAUGGGGAGCGAACAGGAUUAGAUACCCUGGUAGUCCAUGCCGUAAACGUUGGGCGCUAGAUGUAGGGACCUUUCCACGGUUUCUGUGUCGUAGCUAACGCAUUAAGCGCCCCGCCUGGGGAGUACGGCCGCAAGGCUAAAACUCAAAGGAAUUGACGGGGGCCCGCACAAGCGGCGGAGCAUGCGGAUUAAUUCGAUGCAACGCGAAGAACCUUACCAAGGCUUGACAUACACCGGAAACGGCCAGAGAUGGUCGCCCCCUUGUGGUCGGUGUACAGGUGGUGCAUGGUUGUCGUCAGCUCGUGUCGUGAGAUGUUGGGUUAAGUCCCGCAACGAGCGCAACCCUCGUUCUAUGUUGCCAGCGGGUUAUGCCGGGGACUCAUAGGAGACUGCCGGGGUCAACUCGGAGGAAGGUGGGGAUGACGUCAAAUCAUCAUGCCCCUUAUGUCUUGGGCUUCACGCAUGCUACAAUGGCCGGUACAAAGGGCUGCGAUACCGUAAGGUGGAGCGAAUCCCAAAAAGCCGGUCUCAGUUCGGAUUGAGGUCUGCAACUCGACCUCAUGAAGUCGGAGUCGCUAGUAAUCGCAGAUCAGCAACGCUGCGGUGAAUACGUUCC
rnacentral:rRNA from 1 species